AGGGGCUAGAGAGAUGGCUUAGA
rnacentral:piRNA from 1 species